rnacentral:rRNA from 1 species
GUCCACGCUGUAAACGAUGAGGACUAGCUGUUGGGCACCUAGAGUGUUCAGUAGCGUAGCUAACGCGCUAAGUUCUCCGCCUGGGGAGUACGACCGCAAGGUUAAAACUCAAAGGAAUUGACGGGGGCCCGCACAAGCGGUGGAGCAUGUGGUUUAAUUCGAUGCAACGCGAAGAACCUUACCUACCCUUGACAUCCAGGGAAUCUUUCAGAGAUGAGAGAGUGCCUUAUGGAGCCCUGAGACAGGUGCUGCAUGGCU